rnacentral:lncRNA from 1 species
CUUGACUGCAACUUUACAUCCCACAUGUGUGUGGAGGGGGACUAUCCAGGAAAUUACAAGAUGGUUAGCGUACUGGCUGUCCUGGGAAAACAAGCCUUCAUGAAGCAGAGCCUGGCUACUUGAUCUUGAGCUCAAGUGAGGGGAGAGGCUUCAUCAGGCAAUGAAAUGAAGAUAAUCCCUGGCCAUUGGCCAUGCUGACAAGGGUGACUGGGAGCUGUAGACUGAGAGCCAGUGUGGUGUAGUGGUUAAGAGCAGUGGACUCGUAAUCUGGUGAACCGGGUUCACUUCCCUGCUCCUCCACAUGCAGCUGCUGGCUGACCUCGGGCUAGUCACACUUCUCUGAAGUCUCUCAGCCUCACUCACCUCACAGAGUGUUUGUUGUGGGGGAGGAAGGGAAAGGAGAUUGUUAGCCGCUUUGAGACUCCUUAUGGGGAGUGAAAGGCGGGAAACUCCUCUUCCUCUUCCUCCUCCUCCUCCUCCUCCUCCUCUUCUUCUUCUUCUUCUUCUUCUUCUUCUUCUUCUUCUUCUUCCUCCUCCUCUCCAACGUCCUGCAGAGGAAAAUUGGGACAUGUUUCAUUCGGGGCUGUGUUCUCAUGGGAGCCAGUUGACUCAUGUGCAAGCAUGUCCCCCCCCCCAAAAAUGUGUGCCUUUCAGGGCCAUGCUCUCAUGGGAGGCAGAUGACUUUCAUGAGAACACAACCCGCCCCCAAACAGGCAGCUUUCAUAGCCACACUCUUGGAAGUCAAAACAGGACAUCCUCAGAUCCAGUCAGAAGCUGGUGUGACUUCUUUAAUUCUGGGAGGUCCAGUUGUCUGGUAUGAGGAGGAUGUUGAGAAUAAUAAUAAUAAUAAUAAUAAUAAUAAUAAUAAUAAUAAUAUACCUCACCCAUCUGGCUGGGUUUCCCCAGCUACUCUGGGCAGCCCCCAACAGAAUAUUACUAAGAGUAAUAAUGAAGCGAUAAAACAUUGAAUAUUAAACAGGACUACUGGAGGAAUUUUUUGAGGGGGGAUAGGUAUGGCCUAGUAAUACAGUGGUACCUCGGGUUACAGGCGCUUCAGGUUACAGACCCUGCUAACCCAGAAAUAGUACCUCGGGUUAAGAACUUUGCUUCAGGAUGAGAACAGAAAUCGUGCUCCGGCGGUGCAGCAGCAGCAGGAGGCCCCAUUAGCUAAAGUGGUGUCUCAGGUUAAGAACAGUUUCAGGUAAAGAACAGACCUCCAGAAUGAAUUAAGUUCUUAACCCGAGUUACCACUGUAGUCUGUAAACUGUAAACUGCUCUGUGAUAUUCACAUGAAGGUUGGUAUAUAAAUUUAGACAAACAAACAUACAAACAUACAAAGCAAAUGAAUAAAUACUUAGUCCUGCAGGACAGAUAGGCUUGAAGGAUUACAUUCAGCCGAAGGGUAUGAGUUCAGCAGUAAUCCAGGCACAGACUCAGGCUGCAGAGCUGUGAGAAACAGAGACAGAUCAAGUUCAGAGCUCUGAGCUGACUGCUGGAGAGCAGGAGAGCACCCAGGCCACCAGAGCCUGCAGGACCAGAGUCCAGUCCCUUAUGGGUGCGCCUUCUCUUGAACGACCAGAUGCCUCCCACUGCAUGUCACUAGUUCAGUGGCACAGUGGAGAGAUGGCAGGGCUGUGAAGUUCUCUACAAGGAGGUGGAGCCUGGAGGAGGUGGUUUUUGACAGAGAGGUUUCAAUGGCCUCAGACUGCUCCCAACCUUUGCUGGGGUAAGUUGCUCAUUUGGAGUUAUCUGUCAACUAGCAACAUCUGCCUUGCUGUUGUUUCUGUGGGGUCCAGCAUCAGGCCCAAGAACAGCACCCCUGGACUAGAACCUCUUCACCAAAACCCUUUCCGAUUUUACAUUCCUGUGGAAUUCAGUUGCCGCUGCUCCAUUUGCUUGUGAAAGGUUUGCCCCUGGAGAAGUCAGUAAACAGCUUUCCAGACUUCGCUGCUAAUUAUUUUCUUAAUCAAAGCUUUUUCUCCACUUCACUUUAUUAAGGAGGGAUAUUAAGCCCAAGUCUGUCAGCGUUGCCCAAAAACAUCUGCUUGAGGAAAAUGAAAUGCCAAAACAAGAUGGAAUCCUCAUGUGGCCAAUUUCCACCCAGCUGUGAUUUACUGUAUAACAACUACUAUUGUGGAAUACCCAAUUCUUUUGUGAAUGAAUUUAGGUAUGGCGGGUCUCUUCUAGACUCCUGAAUACCAGAAAGUAACAUGCAAGUGUUGUCUUGUGAUGGGAGGAAGCCAGCAGCAAACCACACUGAGCAAGUUGGAGUUAACUCCUUAAUAGCUUACACAGGAUCUGCACAGGAGUCUCAGACCUAAUGAGCACAACAACUCAUCUCUGACAUGUUUUGCACCCAUGAAGCAGUUGCAGAGAGAGAAGGUCCCCACCUCCCCACACCUGUCUAAGUUCCUUCCUUUUCAGGGUUUCCCCCAAGCAAUCUGAGAUGGCGUCUGCAUGAAAUAAACUUCUCCACCCUUUUCAUGCCUCUCCUGGUUCAGGGAGACCUGGGGGGAGCAGAGCUUGUCACAGCAGGAGGGGGAGAAACCUGUGACUCUUCACCAGCUGGACUCCUCUCAGCCUCCCUCCUCUCCUGCUUCAGCUUCUGCCUCUGAGUCUGGAUUUCUCUCUGCACAGACUCCCCCUGCUCACUAAGCCCUGUUACGUCUUCAGCUUCCAACACACCUUCUUCCCAGUCUUCUCUCUGUGACCACUUAUCGUCGUCCCACAACCAGUCCCCUGUUUUUGAGUCCCUUGGAGUUCCGCCACUGGUUCCUCCCACCUUUCCUCUGUGUCCAGCCAUUCCAUGACAUUGUGUAUAAGCAGCCAGCUUAUAUUAGGUGUGUGUUGUGGUCUUGUGUGUGGCUUUUUGGGAGGUGGCAGUAAAGGCUCCUUGAAUAUCGCCUUGAUCCAAAACGAGUAGCAUGUUUCAGGAACUCUCUCGAUUCCUCCUUUUCUUUUUCUUUUAAUACGCAAUCUUCUUCUUCGUCUUCUUUUUUGGAAAAAAAAAAUAUUUCCAAGAGCCUUGGCUGUUGUUUAUACAUUUAGAUGCUGUGAUUAAAUUACAUCCAUAAUGCAUAGUGUUUGCAUUGUAAUACAUUAUUAAUAAUAAUAACACAGUCUUGUAAGGUCCAUUCUGAAGAGGCAUGCUUCUUUGGGACGGUUCAUUGGUCUAUUCACACACAAUUUUCAUACAUCUCUAAAGAUUACCAUUUUAACAGCUUUCUGUACGGAUACUGCCAGGCAGUUACAUUUGACAGUGCAUAAAUCUAAUUCCCUGUGCACUCAAUUUUCUUCUGGCAGCGAAAUCAAUUUGAAUCUGUCUGGAUUUUAUUCUAAAGUCUAUUAAUGCCUGCUGCCUGCCUCUCCCCCCCCCACUCUUUCAACAAUCUGACUUUUUUCAUGAAUUUAAUUCAGCAGUUUGAAAUAGACAGUCGACCGAUACAACCUGUCUUUUAUCUCCUUACAACAAAACCUAAUUAGGUAUGAAAAGGACAUAAAGAGUUUACAAUUAGCCCUUUGGCGAUAAAGGUUAGCCGUCGUGAAAUUCUGCACUAAAGCUGCAAAACCUUUGGUUCUUUUUCAGUCAUCGCGGUCUUUCGACAAGGUCAGUUUUAUCGUUCUUGGCAAACACACUUAACCUAUUUGCCGCGUCGAUACACCCAUGGCUGAUUUUGCUUCUCAGUGUGUGAUUCUGAUGCCUAUAACUGUGGUUGUUAACAGGAUCUUUGGAAGUAACAGGCGGAUGGUAGAAGACUAAGCCAUGCAAUGACAUUUCUUUCUGUUUUACAAAGUAUGUCAUUGAGGAUUAGCUUGUUCAGUCAGCCUGCUAUCAAAAUUAUACGUGUUUGGUAGGAAAGUGACAUGGGCUUAGGAUUGGAGUCAAUGGGACUUAACCGCUCAACUGUGUUGCAAGUAGAGCUUCCCCCCUCUCCUUUUCUUUUCCAGGAGGAUCUUUGUGUCAAGAGAUUGGAGAAUGGGAGUUGGGGGUUAACAGUACAAAUCUAGCAAUGCUUACUUUGAAGUAAAUCCCGAUAGGGAUUACUCCCGGGUUAUGAUAGCAUGUGGAGUUCAUAUGCAUCAGCAGAAGUUUGAGCUUAGCUACAAAUUCCUGAUUUACCUUUAAAGCAGCACACUGAGAUACUGAGUAUGAAAAUAAGAAAGACAAGAUAAUUAUAGGAAACACAUGUUUGAUAGAAAAGAACUUCUUGCCCUACCAAAGAGCAAAGACCAGAAGACAGGCUAGUGUCCAGGUAGGUGCUGUUGCUCAAGCAAAGUUGCAGUGAGACAUGAAGCCCUUCUAUUCCCCUUCAUGCCCAGGAAGAGCCAAUGGCCAGCCUGGUAGAUUCAGUCUGGCAGAUGCUUCCCUGAUAAUCUGAAGGAGCGUCUCCACCCUCAUCAUUCAGCCCAGCGCCGAGGGCCUUCUGGUGGUCCCCUCAUUGUGAGAAUGGGGCUACAGGGAACCAGACAGAGGGCCUUCUUGGUAGUGGCGCCCGCCCUGUGGAACGCCCUCCCAUCAGAUGUCAAAGAGAUAAACAACUACCUGAUAUUCAGAAGACAUCUUAAGGGAAGUUUUUAAUAUGUAACGCUGUACUGUUUUUAACACUUGAUUGGGAGCCGCCCAGAGUGGCUGGGGAAACUCAGCCAGAUGGGCGGGGUAUAAAUAAUAAAUUAUUAUUAUUAUUAUUAUUAUUAUUAUUAUUAUUAUUAUCUGCAAUCACCCUACUUGCCACAUAGGGCAGUGGUCAACAGUUCCAGGCAGUGGUCAACAGCUUCUAGCACCUUAUGGAGAAGCUGCAGAGACACAGCUCCUCACAUGGGGCAAUAAUUAGUGGUUCCUGGUGCUCCAGUUUCUGGGGGCCCUUUGCUGCUUAUAAAGAUGCUCCAAACAGUAUAAUGUACUGGUUAGAAAGGCAGAGUAAGCCUGAGAGAACAGGGUUCAAAUCACCACUCAGUGAUGGAAUGCUCUGAGUAGACUUGGGUCAAUCACAGUCUCACUGCCUAACUUACCUUACAGGGUUGUUCUGGGGAUACAAUGAAGAGGGGAAGAACCAUGCAUACCACCUUGAGCUCCUUAGUUUAAAAAUAGGGGAUAUAAAUGCAAUGAACAAGUAAACAAACCAUUGCAUGCAUUUGGAGUGAAAAAGCCCACCAGAAAUCUCUCUCUUCAACUGUCUCAGGGCCUAGUCUCUAGAACUUUUGAGCUCUUGAUUGCUUUUAUAGAGCUCAAGAGCCACGUACCACAGCUUGAGAUUUCUGGAGCAAAGGUGGGCUAUGAAAGUAAUCAUAAAAUCAAUUGAUGGGUUGACAAACAGUCUGAUCAGGUAGGUAUACGACAGUUUCCUAUGCACUAUAUUCAAAGUAUUCUGUCUUUGUUAGGGACUGGUCAGACACAGAGGAAUGGUGGGAUGAACCAGCUGGGGAAUCCUCAAGGGAAGAAGGCUCAGAGUCUGGAGAUUGGUGGUGGGAUGACAAUGAGUAGUCAGAAGGAGAAGAGGGAGAAGACCUGGAGGAGGAUAUUUCACAAGCUGAAAAAGUAACAGGGCUUAAUGAGCUGGGAGAGUCAGUGACAGAGAGAAGUCCAGAAGCAAAGGUAGACACUGAAGCAGGAGAGGAGGGAGGCCAAGACUCAGAGAAGAGGCACAGGUGUCUCAUACUCCUGCUGUGGCAAGCUCCCCUCCCACUCGUUUCCCAGAACCAGAAGAGGCAUGAAGUUGGAAGAGCAAAGGUAGGCAUGCUGGCAUGAUCUCAGAUUGCUUGGGAAAAGUCCUGGAGAAGAGAGGACUUAGGCAGCUGGGGGAAGGUGGGGACCUUCUGUCCCCACAACUGCUUCAUAGGGGCAAGACAUACCGCAGAACAGUUGCUGUGUUCAUUGGGUGUGACACUCCUGUGCAGAUCCUGUUUUUGCCAAUAAAGAGUUAACUUCACUUACUUUGUGUGAUUGACUGCUGGCUGGCUCCUGACAGUCUGCUCGUGCAAGGACUCUUGCACUAGCAGACACAUAUGUUUUAUUGUUGUGCAACAGAGGAAUCCAAUGCUAUGCUUGUGCCCACAGAAACUCAUUGUGCAACACAAUUGCAUGAUAUAUUGUGUGGCAAAGUUACCAACCACCUGCUUAGUGCGUUUUCUUGCACUGCAACGUUCGUUUGGCAGAAAACAUUUCACCGGUGAAACAAGUAUAACCCUUUGCCCCUAUUCCCCUCCCC